rnacentral:rRNA from 1 species
GACGAACGCUGGCGGCGUGCUUAACACAUGCAAGUCGAACGGAAAGCCCCUUUCGGGGGGACUCGAGUGGCGAACGGGUGAGUAACACGUGGGUGAUCUGCCCUGCACUUUGGGAUAAGCCUGGGAAACUGGGUCUAAUACCGGAUAGGACUACGCACUGCAUGGUGUGUGGUGGAAAGCUUUUGCGGUGUGGGAUGGGCCCGCGGCCUAUCAGCUUGUUGGUGGGGUGAUGGCCUACCAAGGCGACGACGGGUAGCCGGCCUGAGGGGGUGUCCGGCCACACUGGGACUGAGAUACGGCCCAGACUCCUACGGGAGGCAGCAGUGGGGAAUAUUGGACAAUGGGGGCAACCCUGAUCCAGCGAUGCCGCGUGUGUGAAGAAGGCCUGAGGGUUGUAAAGCACUUUAGUUGGGGAGGAAGAGCCUAGAUAUGAAUAAGAUCUAGGAGUGACGUUACCCAAAGAAUAAGCACCGGCUAACUCUGUGCCAGCAGCCGCAGUAAAAC